rnacentral:rRNA from 1 species
GAUCAAAUCAAGCGCGAGAAGGGCGUUUGGUGGAUGCCUUGGCAGCAAGAGGCGAUGAAGGACGUGAUACUCUGCGAUAAGCUAGGGGGAGCCGAGAAUAGGCUUUGAUCCCUGGAUCUCCGAAUGGGGCAACCCACCUGAUAUUCAGUUAUUAUCAGCCGUCAGGUUUUUGAUAAUUGGGUAAACCAGGUACUUCUUACCUGAAUACAUAGGGUUUGAAGAGCAAACCCGGGGAACUGAAACAUCUAAGUACCCGGAGGAAAGGAAAUCAAUGAUACUCCCCUAGUAGCGGCGAGCGAACGGGGACCAGCCGAGCCUUGAGAGUGAUCGGAACAUGCUGGAAAGCAUGGCCAUAGCGGGUGACAGCCCCGUACGAGAAGCUCGAUGGGACGUAUUAAGUAGGGCGGGACACGUGAAAUCCUGUCUGAAGAUCGGAGGACCACCUUCGAAGGCUAAGUACUCCUUGCUGACCGAUAGCGAACCAGUACCGUGAGGGAAAGGUGAAAAGCACCCCGACGAGGGGAGUGAAACAGUACCUGAAACCGAACGCCUACAAUCAGUCGGAGCUUGACUUUGUGACGGCGUACCUUUUGUAUAAUGGGUCAUCGACUUGGUCUAUCUAGCAAGCUUAAGCCGAUAGGUGUAGGCGCAGCGAAAGCGAGUCUUAAUAGGGCGUCGAGUUAGAUGGAUCAGACCCGAAACCGAGUGAUCUAGGCAUGACCAGGAUGAAGGUAAGGUAACACUUACUGGAGGUCCGAACCCACACCUGUUGAAAAAGGUCGGGAUGAGUUGUGCCUAGGGGUGAAAGGCCAAUCAAACUCGGAGAUAGCUGGUUCUCCGCGAAAUCUAUUUAGGUAGAGCGUCAUCCGAAUACCCCGGGGGGUAGAGCACUGGAUGGGUAAUGGGGCCCCACAGGCUUACUGAUCCUAACCAAACUCCGAAUACCCGGGAGUACUAGAUGGCAGACACACUGCGGAUGCUAACGUCCGUAGUGGAGAGGGAAACAACCCUGACCUACAGCUAAGGCCCCCAAUUCAUGGCUAAGUGGGAAAGCAGGUGGGACGACCAAAACAACCAGGAGGUUGGCUUAGAAGCAGCCAUCCUUUAAAGAUAGCGUAACAGCUCACUGGUCUAAACAAGUUGUCCUGCGGCGAAGAUGUAACGGGGCUCAAGCCAUGAGCCGAAGCUUAGGAUGCCGUAAGGCAUGGUAGCGGAGCGUAGUGUGAUAUAGGACUUAUCCUUUACUGCCGCCGGUCGUACGGAGCGUGGAAACGCGCUCAAGUAGCCGAUAGGCGGUAGCGCAGGAGAAAGUCUUUUCUGUGAAGCCGGCCUGUGAGGGAUCCGGUGGAGAGAUCACUAGCGAGAAUGAUGACAUGAGUAGCGACAAAGAGUGUGAGAGACACUCUCGCCGAAAGUCCAAGGGUUCCUGCUUAAAGCUAAUCUGAGCAGGGUAAGCCGACCCCUAAGGCGAGGCCGAAAGGCGUAGUCGAUGGGAACCAGGUUAAUAUUCCUGGGCCAGGAGGAUGUGACGGAUUGUGGCGGCGUGCGUGCCUUAUCGGAUUGGCGCGUAUCCAAGACAGUCCCAGGAAAUAGCCCUCCAUGAGAUCGUACCCUAAACCGACACAGGUGGACUGGUAGAGAAUACCAAGGCGCUUGAGAGAACGAUGUUGAAGGAACUCGGCAAAAUACCUCCGUAAGUUCGCGAGAAGGAGGCCCGGUACACGACUACCGGGGGCACAAACCAGGGGGUGGCGACUGUUUAUUAAAAACACAGGGCUCUGCGAAGUCGCAAGACGACGUAUAGGGUCUGACGCCUGCCCGGUGCCUGAAGGUUAAAAGGAGGGGUGCAAGCUCCGAAUUGAAGCCCAGGUAAACGGCGGCCGUAACUAUAACGGUCCUAAGGUAGCGAAAUUCCUUGUCGGGUAAGUUCCGACCUGCACGAAUGGCGUAACGACUUCCCCGCUGUCUCCAACAUCGACUCAGCGAAAUUGAAUUGCCUGUCAAGAUGCAGGCUUCCCGCGGUUAGACGGAAAGACCCCGUGCACCUUCACUACAGCUUCGCACUGGCAUCAGGCACAACAUGUGCAGGAUAGGUGGUAGGCUUUGAAGCAGGGACGCCAGUCCCUGUGGAGCCUCCCUUGAGAUACCACCCUUGUUCUGCUUGAUGUCUAACCGCGGCCCGUUAUCCGGGUCCGGGACCCUGCGUGGUGGGUAGUUUGACUGGGGCGGUCGCCUCCUAAAGCGUAACGGAGGCGCGCGAAGGUUGGCUCAGAGCGGUCGGAAAUCGCUCGUUGAGUGCAAUGGCAGAAGCCAGCCUGACUGCAAGACUGACAAGUCGAGCAGAGUCGAAAGACGGCCAUAGUGAUCCGGUGGUCCCAAGUGGGAGGGCCAUCGCUCAACGGAUAAAAGGUACGCCGGGGAUAACAGGCUGAUACUGCCCAAGAGUCCAUAUCGACGGCAGUGUUUGGCACCUCGAUGUCGGCUCAUCUCAUCCUGGGGCUGGAGCAGGUCCCAAGGGUAUGGCUGUUCGCCAUUUAAAGAGGUACGUGAGCUGGGUUUAGAACGUCGUGAGACAGUUCGGUCCCUAUCUGCCGUGGGUGUAGGAUACUUGAGAGGAGUUGCCCCUAGUACGAGAGGACCGGGGUGAACGAUCCACUGGUGGACCUGUUGUUGCGCCAGCAGCAGUGCAGGGUAGCUAUGAUCGGACAGGAUAACCGCUGAAGGCAUCUAAGCGGGAAGCCCCCCUCAAAACAAGGUAUCCCUGAGGACCGUGGAAGACCACCACGUCGAUAGGCCGGAGAUGUAAGCACAGUAAUGUGUUCAGUUGACCGGUACUAAUGGUCCGAUAGGCUUGAUUUGAUCCAG